UACAGAGGGGGCAAGCGUUGUUCGGAUUCACUGGGCGUAAAGGGUGCGUAGGUGGUAAGGCAAGUCAGGUGUGAAAUCUCCGGGCUCAACCGGAAAUGGCAUUCGAAACUACCUUGCUAGAGGGUUUGAGGGGGGACUGGAAUACUUGGUGUAGCAGUGAAAUGCGUAGAUAUCAAGUGGAACACCAGUGGCGAAGGCGAGUCCCUGGAAAACUCCUGACACUGAGGCAC
rnacentral:rRNA from 1 species